CGUCUUCCCUUAGGGGUCUUCCAAGAGAAACACCCGCCAACUCAAUCCCUCCCUGACCAAGAGACACUGGAGCCUUCAGAUACAUCAGGAGGAGAAGCUGAAUUGAGCACAGUUUCACAAAUAUCUGUGACUUGUAGAUUCCAUGCUGCAGAAAACCAUCAGCAGAAACAGGAGGCUGACCUUGCUGGCCAGAACAAAGAGAAACUUUUCAUGGGGACUUCAUCUCACCUGACACCCAGAAUGUAAUUGGCAGGACACAGAUGUGGCCUUGAGAGCUGUUGAGUAACUGAAGACAGGACUGAAGACAGGACAGGGAGUCUCAUUCCUGUCAAGUGAAUGACGCAGUGCUCUUUGCAAGUAUUGACGGUGAAGUAUCCCUGCUGUGGUACCUCUGAGCUCAGCUCCGGCAGUGGUUUUGGUAGACCAGACUCUCUUUCUGGUGUGAAGAAUGAGAAGACAUCUGAAAAACUAGAUAAUAUAGUGAAUAGGACAUUUGGUAAAUAAAAGCAAUGACAACUCUAAAAAAAAAGCACAUGUGUGAAAAACAGAUAAUAGCA
rnacentral:lncRNA from 1 species